rnacentral:lncRNA from 1 species
ACAUACUUACCCACAAAGAGUCAUCACAAACAAAUCUUCACUCUGUAGACUAAUACUACAAUCCACCACCAAUCACUACAACAUUCACCCUCCAACUUUACCAUAUUUACAGACUUGUAUUAUCUUUAACUAAUUGUGACCAACAUUGUCUUCAUUGUAACUGUCCGUGACUAUAUCAAUCUAAUUUAUGACUGUACCAAUUAACAUAUUUCUGAUCACAAAUAGUCAUAGUAAAGAUAAAUUUGAUCACACAUGAUUUUCGUCAUCACUGCCACCACUCCCAACAACAUCAACCAAAUGUGCACCCAUAGCACGUACACCCACCACCAUUGCAUCCAACCACACACCACAUAUGCACAACUGGUCAAACACUACUACACACCGACAAAGCCAUUACCACGCCGCCAACAACACUGCACCCACACCCACUACCACUACAUCCAACCACACCAUUAUCUCACCACCACUGGCACGCCCAAAAACCCCAUGUCGGCAUCGAAGAAUUGCAGCGUCGCGACGAAGGACUACAACGUCGACAGGAAGGACUGCAGCGCGACGAAGGACUGUACGCACCAGUUGGCGUCGAAUGACUGCAACGUUGUCGUUCAUCGUUUACAGAAUUGGAAUUAGCGUUGCCCGAUGACGCUUCUGAGAAAUCUCAGCAACCCCCCCCCAUGCCAGCAGUGUCGUCUAGCACAUCUCCUUCGUCGCUGGGUGCCGGAGAUCGAAGAGCCCAUACGGAUGGAGCCAUCGAGGAUCGAAUAGGUUGGACAGGGAUGAGAUGAGGUGAGGUGAGGUGAGGUGAGGUGAGGUUUGAAAGAGAGAGAAAUACGGAAUAGGUUGGGUAGGGGUUGGGUUAUAUAUGUAUAUUAG